CGUAAAAGGAGAAGCAUUUCUAAUUGAUUGCAUUCCUCAACUAAUAUGGAACACAGUUGCGCUGAACUAAAGAUCGAGGUUGGCUAUCUCAUUUUGGAAAAUAAGUUUAGGCUUGAAAACAAGAGACGGACAAUCAUGGAAUAGGAGCGCAUAAUCUGCAUGGUUGUUCUUUGUGUAGAAGACGGGAAGAAGAAGGCAGAGGCAGAGAAGAAGAAGAAGACUUCCUAGUUUAGGAUUUCUUUGUUCUGAUUCUGUUUUUGUAUUC
rnacentral:lncRNA from 1 species